CGAGGGUGCAAGCGUUAAUCGGAAUUACUGGGCGUAAAGCGAGUGUAGGCGGCUACUUAAGUCGGAUGUGAAAGCCCCGGGCUCAACCUGGGAAUUGCAUUCGAAACUGGGUAGCUAGAGUUUGGUAGAGGUAAGUGGAAUUCCGGGUGUAGCGGUGAAAUGCGUAGAUAUCCGGAGGAACAUCAGUGGCGAAGGCGGCUUACUGGACCAAAACUGACGCUGAGGCUCGAAAGCGUGGGGAGCAAACAGGAUUAGAUACCCGAGUAGUCC
rnacentral:rRNA from 1 species